rnacentral:rRNA from 1 species
GUGAGGAAUAUUGCGCAAUGGAGGCAACUCUGACGCAGCCAUGCCGCGUGCAGGAAGAAGUCGCUACGCGUUGUAAACUGCUUUUAACCGGGAAGAAACCCCAGGACGUGUCCUGGGUUGACGGUACCGGAGGAAUAAGCACCGGCUAACUUCGUGCCAGCAGCCGCGGUAAUACGAAGGGUGCAAGCGUUAUCCGGAUUCAUUGGGUUUAAAGGGUGCGUAGGCGGAGCGUUAAGUCAGUGGUGAAAUCCUGCAGCUUAACUGUAGACUUGCCAUUGAUACUGGCGCUCUUGAGUGCGCUUGAAGUGGGCGGAAUGUGCCGUGUAGCGGUGAAAUGCUUAGAUAUGGCACAGAACACCAAUUGCGAAGGCAGCUCACUAAGGCGAUACUGACGCUGAGGCACGAAAGCGUGGGGAUCGAACAGGAUUAGAAACCCGUGUAGUCC